UACAGAGGGUGCGAGCGUUGUUCGGAAUUAUUGGGCGUAAAGGGCGCGUAGGCGGCGCGGUAAGUCACCUGUGAAAUCUCCCGGCUCAACUGGGAGCUUGCAGGCGAAACUGCCGUGCUCGAGUAUGGGAGAGGCGAGUGGAAUUCCUGUGUAGCGGUGGGAAUGCGCAGAUAUCAGGAGGAACACCAAUAGCGAAGGCAGCUCGCUGGGGACGGUACUGACACUGAGGCGCGAAAGCGUGGGGGAGCGAACAGG
rnacentral:rRNA from 1 species